UAUGGUGGAUUAUUUUUUUGAUAUGUUGUUGAAUUCUACUGGCUCGAAUUUUGUUGAGGAUUUUUGCAUCUAUGUUCAUGAGGGAUAUAGGUCUGUAAUUUUCUUUUUUUGUGUUGUCUUUAGCUGGUUUUGGUAUCAGGGUUAUGCUGGCUUCAUAGAAGGAGUUAGGUAGUAUUCCGUCCUUUUCUAUGCUUUGAAAUACCUUCAGUAGUAGUGGUAAGUCUUCCCUGAAAGUUUGGUAGAACUUUGCAGUGAAGCCAUCAGGGCCAGGGCUUUUUUUUUGUUGGGAGUGUUUUGAUUACCUUUUCAAUCUCUUUUUUUGUUAUGGGUCUAUUUAGUUGUUCUACUUCAGUUUGUGUUAGUUUAGGUAGGUAGUGUGUUUCUAGAAAUUCAUCCAUUUUUUCUAGGUUUUCAAAUUUGUUAGAAUACAAUUUUUUGUAGUAAUCUGAUAUGAUUGUUUUAAUUUCAGUUGGAUCUGUUGUGAUAUGGCCCAUCCCAUUUCUUAUUCAGAUUAUUGGUUUCUUUUCCUGUAUUUCUUUAGUCAGUCUGGCCAAUGGUUUAUCAAUUUUGUUAAUUUUUUCAAAGAAGCAGUUUUUGUCCUUGUUAACUCUUUCAAUUGUUUUUCUAUUCUCUAAUUCAUUUAAUUUUGCUGUAGUUUUUAUUUUUUGCUUUCUUUUGGUGCCUGACAGUUCCUUUUGUUGCUCUCUUUCUGUUUGUUCAAGUUGUAGGGAGAGUUCUUUCAUUUUGGCUCUUCUUUAAUAUGUGUGCCUUUAUUGAUAUAAAUUGACCUCUGAGCACUGCUUUCACCAUGUCCCAAAGGUUUUCAUAGGAAGUGUUUUCAGUCUUGUUGAAUUCUGUGAAUUUCUUUAUUCCCUCCUUAAGGUCUUCCAUAACCCAGUCUUUUUUGAGCAGGGUAUUGUGCAGUUUCCAAGCAUUUGAUUUCUUUUCCCUGGUUUUUCUGUUAUUGAUUUUUACUUUUAUGGUCUUUCAUUCAGAGAAGAUGUUUUGUAAUAUUUCAAUGUUUUGGGUUCUGCAAAGGCUUGUUUUAUGACCUAAUAUGUGAUCUAUUCUAGAGAAUGUUUCAUGUGCACUAGAAAAGAAAUUAUAGUUUGCAGCUGUUGUGUGGAGUGUUCUGUAUAAGUCUAUGAAGUGAAGUUGUUUAAUUGUAGGAAUUAGAUCUUCCGUGUCUCUAUUGAGCUUCUUACUGCAUUUCCUAUCCUUCACCGAGAGUGUUGUGUUGAAGUCUCCUGCUAUAAUUGUGGAGGUGUCUAUCUCACUUUUUAAUUCUGUUAACAUUUGUUUUAUGAAUGUUGCGGCCCUAUCAUCAUUGGGUGCAUAAAUAUUUAAUACAGUUAUAUGUACCUGGUAAAUUGUCCCUUUAAUCUUUAUGUAGUGUCCUUCUUUAUCCUUUGUGGUGGAUUUAAAUUGAAACUCUAUUUUGUUGGAAAUUAAUAUUGCCUCUCCUGCUCUUUUUUGAUUGUUGUUUGCUUGAUAUAUUUUUAUCCAUCCUUUCAGUUUUGGUUUAUUUGUGUCUCUUAACUCUAAAGCGUGUCUCUUUUAGGAAGCAUACAGACUGAUCGUGUUUUUUUAUCCAGUCUGCAACUUUCUGUCUCUUUAUUGGUGAAUUUAGUCCAUUUACAUUAAGUGUAAUUAUAGACAAGUAUGAGUUUAGUGCUGUCAUUUUGAUGCCUGUUUUUGACAAUUUCAUUUUCCAUUUACUUUUUUGUGCUGAGUUUUUCUUUGUAGAAUGUGUGUUCCUCCUUUUUAUAGUAGUUGAAUUUAUUUUGGUGAGUCGUUAUGUUUAUCUUGGUUUUUAUUUUGAAGUAUGGAAUUGUUAGACCUUGUUGUGGUUAUCUUAAUAUUUACCCUGGUUUGAGUAAGUAAAAACCUAAGUUGUUUCGCCCUGUAUCGCCUUGGUUUCCUCUCCAUAUGUAAUUUCUAAGCCUCCUGUAUUUAGUCCCUCUUUUUUCACUAUCGUAAUCUUUUACAUAAUCACAUCAAUGAUUCCCUGUUUUGAGCAAUUUUUUAAUUAAUCUUAUUUUGUUUUUGUGAUUUCCCUAUCUGGGUUGAUAUCAGGAUGUUUUGUUCUGUGACCUUGUGUUGUGUUGGUAUCUGAUAUUAUUGAUUUUCUGACCAAAGAAUUUCCUUUAGUAAUUCUUGCAGUUUUGGUUUGGUUUUUGCAAAUUCUCUAAGCUUGUGUUUAUCUGUAAAUAUCUUAAUUUCACCUUCAUGUUUUAGAAUUUUGCUGGAUAUAUGAUUGUUCGCUGACAGUUUUUCCUCUUUCAGUGCUCUAUAUAUGUUAUCCCAUUGUCUUCUUGCCUGCAUGAUUUCUGCCGAGUAGUGCAAACUUAUUGAUUCUCCUUUGUAGGUAACUUUUCGUUUAUCCUUGGGUGCUUUUGAAAUUUCUCUUUAUCUUAGGUUUUGGCAGGUUUGAUGAUAUGUCUUGGUGAUUUUCUUUUGGGAUCUAUUUUGUAUGAGGUUCGAUGAGCAUCUUGGGUAGAUAUCUUUUCAUCUUUUACAAUGCCAGGGAAUUUUUCUGCCAUCAGAUCUUCCACUGUUCUCUCUGUAUUUUCUGUUAUCCCUCCCUGUUCUGGAACUCGAAUCACACGCAAAUUAUUCUUGAUAGAGUCCCCCAUGAUUCUUAGGGUUUCUUCAUAGUUUUAAAUUCUAUUUGAUUUUUCUUCAACUAUAUUUGUGUCAAUUGCCUUAUCCUCCAGCUCCCCCACUCUGCAUUCCAGUUCCUUGAUUCUGCUCCUGUGACUUCCUAUUGAGUUGUCUGAAUCUGUGACUUUAUUGUUAAUCUUUUGGAUUUCUGAAUGCUGUCUCUCUAUGGAUUCUUACAGCUUAUUAAUUUUUUCACUAUGUUGUCGAAUAAUCUUUUGGAUAUCUUCAACUGCUUUAUCCGCGUAUUCCUUGGUGUUUUCUGUAGAUUGCCUUAUUUCAUUUGUGAGGUCAUUCCUGAUGUCUUGAAGCAUUCUGUAUAUAAUUUUUUUAUAUUCUACAUUUGGCAAUUCUAGGAAUGUAUCUACAUCUGGGAAUGAUUUUGAUUCUUUGAUUUGGGGGUUUGUAGAAGGAAUCAUGGUCUGCUUCUUCAUGUGAUUUGAUGUCGACUGCUGUCUCUGAGCCAUUUAUAAGAUAUUGUAAUAUUUUAUAUUUGCUCACUGAGUCUUAUCUUCUUAUUUUGUUUUGUUACAAUACACCCAGAUGGGCUACUAGAUUGUGGUAUCGUGAUUGAUGUAGCUUUUGAAUCACUUACGUCCUGUUACCAGCUUGCCUGAGCUGUUACCAGGUAUAUAAGUGUAUGAGUCCAUUCACUAUUCUUGAAUACAAUCAGCUCAGGUGUCCUGAUAGCUGGUCACCUAGUGUGUGGUGUAGGCUCUCACCUAUUAUCUUAGAGGAGUAGUGGUGAUGGUUGUAUGCACCAGUUUCUAUUAGUGGCAGGGGGUCACAUUUCGAGGAGGGCAGGAUGCUGACAGCCUUCCUUCAAGUGUCAGUGAGGUAGGUGUGGCUCUAUUCUCUAGAGCACUCUGGUGGGUGGGCUUUGCAGCUGUAUCUUAGGCACCCAAUGCUUGGGUAGGCGUCACUAUUCUCAGACCCCUCUAGCAGGUGGCUAGGUGAUGUGGGUGGAGUCUCAGCCCUCAGUUCGCUGGUGUGGAUCAGCGAGGGCUCUGUUUAAUAGGUAGAGAGGUAUCUGACCUCCAAAACUUGCCUUUCCACUGCUGAGCUAAAACAAUUAUGGUCAGAUCUCUAUCAGAAUUGCCUUUACAUUGUAAUAGCCACCUAGUUACCUGUAGGGUGAAAGCCAAAGACUAUGGGUCUGUUAAUGCCUGGAUGGAGCUGAUUCUGUACUGUUAUUUCAGUUUAGGGAAGUCAGGGAAGGAUUUUUUCUUUGAUUGUUAAAUGCUGCUUUUCUCAGGCCAGGAGAAUGGGUUAGAAAAGAAAGAAGAAAAAAAAUUCAGCAGUGCACUUCACUCUCUGGCACAGAGGAUUCCAAUGUUAAUGAAGCUGGCUGGGGCAAUGAGGGGUGGAAUCAGAUAUAUAGAAGAGAGUAGCCUGGCAAAAUAUACAAAGUUACUUAUGUUGUUUGGUGAGAACUGUUUUUUCUGAGAUUCCAGAGCAUUGUGUCGCUCGUGUGUGCUGGCUGGAUCCCUGCUGAGACUGUCCCAGAGGGUUAGGGCUGCAUCCAUGCUCACACUGUCUCAGGAAGCCACAAUCGGCUCCCCCACACUUAGUCCAAAGCCCAGCACCAAGGUUUCCUUUCUGGGACGCUGCACUCCAGGCUCCAAAACCAGUCGCUGCUUCCCUAUAGUUUUUCGUUUCCCUGUCAGCCGCGUCUGUGUGGAGCCUGCGUGUGCUGCCUGGGUCCCCUCUGAGGUUGGUCCUGAGGGUUAGGCCUAUAUCUGUUCUUCCCUGUCUCAGUAAACCACAAUCAGCCCCACCACUCUGACACCAGGAAACCGCGAGGGCUCAAGGCUACGGCGUGGGACACUGGCUCUGGAAGCGGUCCCUGCUGCAGCGUGGCUUUCGCUCCCCCGUCACUCAGGUCAACUCCUUAGUUCUGUGUUUGAUGGUCAGGGUUUGUAGAUUGUCCUUUAUGUAAUCAGUUCACUUGUUUUUUCGAGUCUUUGUUUCAAGAAGUAUAAGCGGAAUCUUCUACCUAGUCAGCCAUCUUGGUCCUGCCCCCGUGUCUGCCUCUUUAUGUGAUUUGAUAUUGACUGUUGUCUCUGAGCAAUCUAUAAGUUAUUGUAUUAGUUUAUUUUAUGCUUGCUUUUUGUAUCCUAGCUUCUUGCUUUGUUUAGUUUUGGUAUUCCCAAAUAAGCUGCUUGAGUGUGCUAGGUUGAUUAUUUUCACCUUUGAAGCUCUAAUGUACUAUCACCAGAUGGCUAGCACUGUUACCAGGUAUAUGAGCCUAGGAGUUCAUUUACUUUUCUUGUAUGCAUUCAACUCAGGUGCCCAGGUAGUUGGUCAUAAAGUGUGUGGUACAGGCUCUGUCCUACCGUCUUAGAGGGGCAGGGGUUAUUGGUGUAGGCAGAAGUAUCUGGCUGCAGUAGGGGGUCAGGCUCUGAUCAAGGCAGGGGUCUGACAGCUGUCCUCUGAGUGUCUGUGAGGAAAGUGCAUCCCUGUUCUGUAGAGCACACGGGUGGGUUCUGCAGAAGGGCGAUGGGUACCCAAUGCUUUUGGUUGUAAGUUCUGGGAGGUACUACUUACCCUUGGAGCCCUGUCACAGGAGGCUAGGUAUUGUGGGUGGAGCCACCAGUCCUUAGGCCCCUGAUGUGGGUAGGUGAAGACGCCGUUUAAUAGGCAAAGCAGUGUCAAACAUCAAACACCCAUCUUUCCACCGUUCAGCUGAAACAGUUGCAGUCUGGCGACAAGGGCCUAUUCUCCUGAAAUGGGCCCACACAGGUCCAUGCUGGGGUGAAAGGUAUUCAAAGCCCAUGGACUGUUUGUGCCUGAACAAGAGCUGCUUCUGUCCUGAGCUCCCCAGCUUAAUUGAGCUGGCAGAUUAUCUUUCCCCCAGUUGUGAACUUAUACCUUCUUCAAGGAUGGAAAAAUGGCUCAGAGUGGUACCAGGGCCUAUCUCAGGCCCAGGGAAGUUGACAGCCACUGAAGCCGGCUUGGGGGCUGGGGGCGUGGUAAAAUAAACACAAGUAAUUAGCUUUUGCUGAGAGUGCCGUUCUUCUCUUGUUCUGGAGGUGUGAGUAGUCUGUGCAACUUGCUGUCCUUCCCUGAGCUAAACGCCUCUGGAACACUACUGCCAGCCCCGCUGCAGUCGCUCCAGGGAACGGUGCCUGAGGGUUCCUGGCUGUUCAGGUCCAGUAACUCCUCUCCACUUCUGAAUAGUCUCUCCCUCCCCCUGCCGCUGAGUCCAUUUUCUAACUUUACCUUUGAUGUUCAGGGCUCCUAGCUUGUCAUAAAUAUAAUCGCUUCACUUGUUUUUUCUGGUCUUUUUUGUAAGAGGGAUCACUGGUGGCGUCUCAAUACUCAAAACUUCAUCAUUUCUUCCUUUCACUUUAGCUACUCGACAUUCAAGAGCAACGUUCAGAGUCUCUUCCGACAUCCGUUUUGGUCUUUUCUUUCUUUCCUGUCUUUUAAAGGAUCUCUUGCUUUCCUCAUGUGUGAUGUCCUUGAUGUCAUUCCACAACUCGUCUGGUCUUCAGUCGUUAGUGUUCAACACGUAAAAUGUGUUCUUGAGGUGGUCUCUAAAUACAGGUGAGAUAUACUCAAGGUCAUAUUUUGGCCCCUUUUGACUUAUUCUAAUUUUCUUCCGUUUCAACUUGAACUCCCAUAUGAGCAAUUGACAGUCUGUUUCACAAUCGAUCCCUGGCCUUGUUCUGACUGAUGAUAUGAGUUUUCCCAUCUUCUCUUUCCACAGAUGUAGUCAGUUUGAUUCCUGUGUAUUCCAUCUGGUAAAGUCCACGUGUAUAGCUGCCGUUUAUGUUGGUGAAAAAAAAUAUUUGCAGUGGAUGAGUCACUGGUCUUGCAAAAUUCUUUCAUGAGAUUUCUGGCGUCAUUUAUUUCAGCGAUGCUGUAUUUUCCAACUACUUUUCCUUCUUUGUUUCCAACUUUAACAUUCUAAUGACCAGUAAUUAUCAAUGCAUCUUGAUUGCAUCUUUGAUCAAUUUCAGGCUGCAGAAGUUGUUUAAAAUCUUCAAUUUCUUUAUCUUUGGCAUUAGUGGUUGGUGCAUACAUUUGAAUAGUCAUAUAAACUAGUCUUCCUUGUAAGUGUAUGGAUUUUAGCCUAUCAGUGACAACAUUGUACUUCAGGCUAGAUCUUGAAAUGUUCUCUUUGAUGAUAUGUAACGUCAUUCUUUUGACUCUGGUGGAAUAUCCAUGUUUGUAAGACUGCUCACAGACUGUUUUACCAGAGAGUUUUCUGGUACUGCAACAUCUACCACUAAUCUCUGUGAUCCCUUUGAAUUGGCAAAAUAAGAAUAGUGCUAUAGAUUUCUUCCAAAUACAGAAAACAUAAGUAUGAAAAUGUUCUUGCUGUUGAUUAUAUUCUUUACCAAUCUGUUUGUAUGGGAUUUUUGGUACUUCACUUGAAAAAUGAGUCCAAGGUACUGUGAUGUGAUUGUUUACUUUGUGUGGCCUUUCUAGCCAUGGUCUUAUAACAUCCACCCUGGUGCUUGGGCAGGACUGUGUGAUAGGGUAAUUGUGGCUCACCAAGAGGAUUGUUUAUUUUGCCUUCAAAGAGAACCAGUUCCAGAGCAAAGAGGAGGAUUCAACUCCCAUCAAGGAAGAACAGCCAAGAGCCGAGCGUAUAUUAUGGACCUGAGAUCCCUGCACUGAGAAGCUCCUAGAAGCAGGAGACUGAGAUAGAGAGAGGAAGCUGUAACCCUGAAGAUGCUUAAAUACAGACCAGAAGAGGAGUUUGGGGCUUGACACCUGACAUCUUAACACCAGUUCCUGUUUCUUGAGGAAGGAAGAGGUAAAAUAAAUCAGCGUUUGCUGUUUCCUUCUCCAUCCCCGGAAGUCCUGAUGAAGACCCUCUCAGGUAAGGAUUGACAGGGAGUGGCUUGGUUUACUAUUCAACUUUGUCCUUCAGUAACUUUGUUUAUGUCCUGCAUGUAAACUGUUGUGCAUUGAGAAGCAUUCUAAUUCUUGUGCAGAAGGACUAGACCUCCUGCAGAAUGACUAUAUUGUGCCUCCCUCGGGCACCCCUGUCUGCGCAGCACCCCCCAACGCCAACUGCCCAACCGCCUCUCUCCUGGCAUUCUGCUUCUAGAAGCAUGUUCUUUUGAUGCAGAGAUGCAGCACACACAGAAUCCCAGCUGGAUUACAGACUUGAACCUGAAGACCUUAUGCAGAAUGACAAUUUAUGAACCACUAAGCUCAGUACUAAAGCAGCUUCAACUUGAACGUGAAUAUGAGCAACUGAUCAUCUGUUCUGCAGUCAGCCCCUGCCCUGAUUCUGACUCAUGAUAUUGACCAAGUGAAGAGUGAUUCAGAGAAAAACAUGGAUAGAGUGUGACCUAAUUUCCAUAAAAACAAACAAAUGAAUGUACUUACAUGUGUCCCGGCAAAAAGAAGUGUGUAAAAGGGUACAUAUGUAUCUUUGGACACUGGACACUUCAGGGGAGCAGGUAUAAUAUACUUAUGUGGGGAUGGCUCUUAUUAUAACUUCUAUAUACAAAUCUCUAUUGUUAAAUGUGUUAUAAGAAUGUAAAAGCUUUUAAAGUUUAAUAACAUCAUACGUGUAUGUGUGUGUAUUUGAAACUUUUUUUCUUUUGACUAUUUUAUAUAUGUGUUUUUUAGUUAUCUAGUUUUUUUUUUAGUGUGGCUAUAGCAGAGAUACCAAAAGUGGAUGGCUUUAACAAACAGAAACUUAUUCUCUCACAGUUUAAGAAGCAACAAGUUUGAAGUCAGGGCACCAGGUCUAGGAGAAAGCUCUCUCUCUUUGUGGCUCUGGGGGAAGGUCCUUGUCAUCUAUCUUCCCCUGGCCUAGGAAAUUCUCAGCGCGUGGACACUGGGUCAAAAAGACGUGCUCCACUCCAGGCACUUCUUCCUUGGUGGUAUGAGGUCCCUCUCAUUUCCGCUCACUCUUCUCUUUGUAUCUCAAAAGAGACUGACUCAAGACUCACCCUAAUCCUGUAGAUUGUGUCCUCCCUCAUUAACCUAACUGCCUCUAAUCCCGCCUUAUUUACAUCACAGAGGUUAGAAUUUACAACACAUAAGUAAUCACAUCAGAUCACAAAAUGCAGGACAACCACACAAUACUGGGAAUCAUGGUCUGGCCAGGUUGGCACACAUUUUGGGGGACACUAUUCAAUCCAUAACAACAGAGAAAACACUGUCUUCAAUGCCAGAUUCAGAGACUUUUAUCAAUCUAUGAAGGGCAAACACAGAAAUUGAACAAAAUUCAGACCAGCGAAUUAUUGCUUGCUCUUGUAACUAAUGACUUCUUCUGGUCUCUGUACCUGGAAAUGGCCAAAAAGAAUUCUGUGAGGAUUAAUUCAGUUAUUGCUAAAACAUCUACUGCAUUUACAUGUCUACAGAUAAGGAAUAAUGCUGGACACCAUGUGUGAUUCAUUAAGUAACACAGGGACUAUUAGACUGUUGUUCUCCUUCUCUGAUAUGCCACUAUCACCUUCUCCCCUUGUUGCUCUCCUGAAAAACCCACACUUGUAUAUUCUAGGCUUUUUUCCAGGAUUGAAUUUGCAGGAAGUUGAAGAUACAUCUUUGAAAGAUAAAGAAGACUUUGGCCACAUUGUCUUUAGACAGUCGAACUUCCCAGCCAGCCUCUGUGCAGGAUGGGAAUUCACAAUCCCUCCUACUCAGUACCUCUGAGCAGGACGGGAUUUCUGUUUCAUUAUCAGGAGACUGUGGAAUUCACCCCUCUUCAGAAAACUUACUUUCCUUUGCCUCAAACUGUCCCUCUCAGGAUCUGUCACGGUCACUCUGAGAAAUUCACAUGGGCAGCCUGUAUGGA